AAUCUGAUUUAGAUUUCAGGGUUUCAGAGUAGGGCUGGGCGAUUUGGAGAAAAUCAGAUAUUGCGAUAUUCUUGUCCUAAUACCUCGAUGUUGAUAUUGUGGCAAUAUUAUAGGGUUGACAAUUGGUGCUUUAACAAAAUACUUUCACAAUGAGAUUUUAGAUAAAUAAUUUUCAUUAAUGUAGAUAUAAUGACUAAGUGGGUAAAGGU